UAGUCCACGCUGUAAACUAUGAGUACUAGCUGUUAGAUCUGGUGUAAAAGAUUUAGUGGCGUAGCAAACGUGAUAAGUACUCCGCCUGGGAAGUACGACCGCAAGGUUAAAACUCAAAGGAAUUGACGGGGACCCGCACAAGCGGUGGAGCAUGUGGUUUAAUUCGAUGCAACGCGAAAAACCUUACCUACUCUUGACAUCCUAAGAAUAAAGUAGAAAUAUUUUAGUGCCUUCGGGAACUUAGAGACAGGUGCUGCAUGGCUGUCGUCAGCUCGUGUUGUGAAAUGUUGGGUUAAGUCCCGCAACGAGCGCAACCCUUGUUUUAGUUGCCAUCAUUAAGUUGGGAACUCUAAAAAGACUGCCACUGAUAAAGUGGAGGAAGGUGGGGACGACGUCAAGUCAUCAUGGCCCUUACGAGUAGGGCUACACACGUGCUACAAUGGGCAUUACAAAAAGAAGCAACAGGGCAACCUAGAGCGAAACUUAAAAAAGAUAGUUCUUAGUCCGGAUUGCACUCUGCAA
rnacentral:rRNA from 1 species